rnacentral:rRNA from 1 species
AUGAUGAUGGGGACCGAUGUGUGUUCUUCGCGGAUGCUGUCGCUGCCCCGUUACGAGAGCGGCGACGAGGAGCUCACCGUGCUGCCCAGGCACACCAAGGUCGUCGUCACCGGUAACAACCGGACAAAGUCCGUGCUCGUCGGCCUGCAGGGUGUGGUCAAGAAGGCUGUUGGCCUUGGAGGCUGGCACUGGCUGGUUCUCAAGAAUGGUGUGGAGGUGAAGUUGCAGAGGAAUGCCCUGAGUGUCUUGGAAGCUCCGACUGGCAACGAGGACGACGACGAGAUCGAUGGCGGUAACAGCUCCUUCUGCGGCAGCUUCGACAUGGGAGACAAAGACAUGAACUACUCAAGCAUCGAGUACCAGAAGCCAACAAAGCCGAGGGUCCGGCACACAAGGCCAUGGUCUUCCUGCACGACGACGUCCAGCAGCCGGGCCAACAACCUUCACUCGACCUCGAAGCUGCGAGCGAGAGUGAACCUGACAAAGCUUGGAACACCCACACUAUGGAGAUACUGGAAGCACUUCAACCUUGGUGGUGAAAAAUGUGUGCAGGUGAGCAUGAACCCGACUCCAUCAGAGGAGCAGCUGUUCCAUGGGGUCCAGCAGCAUUUCCAGUCGCAGCAAUUGGAUGAGUUGCAGGUGAUCUUGGGGUUCAUCCAGACGGCAAAGAGGCUCAAGACCCUGUACAAGAACAGCUCCUAG